AGUGAAUUAUUUUAAUAAAAAUACUUGUUUUACACACAAGAGAUAGUGAUAACUAUUCAUUA
rnacentral:tRNA from 1 species